CGCUAUCACUCCGUACGGGAGGCAGCAGGUAGGGAAUCUCCACAAUGGACGAAAGUCUGAUGGAGCAACGCCGCGUGAGUGAAGAAGGGUUUCGGCUCGUAAAACUCUGUUGUUAAAGAAGAACAUAUCUGAGAGUAACUGUUCAGGUAUUGACGGUAUUUAACCAGAAAGCCACGGCUAACUACGUGCCAGCAGCCGCGGUAAUACGUAGGUGGCAAGCGUUGUCCGGAUUUAGUUGGGCGUAAAGCGAGCGCAGGUCGGUUUUUAAGUCUGAUGUGAAAGCCUUCGGCUCAACCGAAGAAGUGCAUCGGAAACUGGAAACUUGAGUGCAGAAGAGGACAGUGGAACUCCAUGUGUAGCGGUGAAAUGCGUAGAUAUAUGGAAGAACACCAGUGGCGAAGGCGGCUGUCUGGUCUGUAACUGACGCUGAGGCUCGAAAGUAUGGGUAGCAAACAGGAUUAGAUACCCUGGUAG
rnacentral:rRNA from 1 species